rnacentral:rRNA from 1 species
GAUGAACGCUGGCGGCGUGCCUAAUACAUGCAAGUCGAGCGAACAGACGAGGAGCUUGCUCCUCUGACGUUAGCGGCGGACGGGUGAGUAACACGUGGAUAACCUACCUAUAAGACUGGGAUAACUUCGGGAAACCGGAGCUAAUACCGGAUAAUAUAUUGAACCGCAUGGUUCAAUAGUGAAAGACGGUUUUGCUGUCACUUAUAGAUGGAUCCGCGCCGCAUUAGCUAGUUGGUAAGGUAACGGCUUACCAAGGCAACGAUGCGUAGCCGACCGGAGAGGUGGAUCGGCGGCACUGGAACUGGGACACGGUCCAGACUCCUACGGGAGGCAGCAGUAGGGAAUCUUCCGCAAUGGGCGAAAGCCUGACGGAGCAACGCCGCGUGAGUGAUGAAGGUCUUCGGAUCGUAAAACUCUGUUAUUAGGGAAGAACAAAUGUGUAAGUAACUAUGCACGUCUUGACGGUACCUAAUCAGAAAGCCACGGCUAACUACGUG